rnacentral:rRNA from 1 species
CUACGGGCGGCACCAGUGGGGAAUAUUGGACAAUGGGGGAAACCCUGAUCCAGCAAUGCCGCGUGUGUGAAGAAGGCCUGCGGGUUGCAAAGCACUUUCGGUUGGGAGGACUGCUUCUAGCACUAAUAUUGUUGGAAGUUGACGUUACCUUCAGAAGAAGCACCGGCUAACUCCGUGCCAGCAGCCGCGGUAAUACGGAGGGUGCAAGCGUAAUCGGAAUUACUGGGCGUAAAGCGCGCGUAGGCGGCUAGAUCAGUCGGGUGUGAAAGCCCCGGGCUUAACCUGGGGACUGCAUCCGAUACUGUCUAGCUUGAGUACAGGAGAGGAGAGUGGAACUCCAUAUGUAGCGGUGAAAUGCGUAGAUAUGUGGAGGAACACCAAUGGCGAAGGCAGCUCUCUGGCCUGAUACUGACGCUGAGGUGCGAAAGCGUGGGGAGCAAACAGGAUUAGAUACCCGGGUAGUC